GGGGAAUAUUGGACAAUGGGCGCAAGCCUGAUCCAGCCAUACCGCGUGUGUGAAGAAGGCCUUCGGGUUGUAAAGCACUUUAAGCAGGGAGAAAAAGUUAUAAGUUAAUACCUUAUAACCGUGAUGUUACCUGCAGAAUAAGCACCGGCUAAUUCCGUGCCAGCAGCCGCGGUAAUACGGAAGGUGCAAGCGUUAAUCGGAAUUACUGGGCGUAAAGCGCGCGUAGGUGGUUUGUUAAGUUGGAUGUGAAAGCCCUGGGCUCAACCUAGGAACUGCAUCCAAAACUAACUCACUAGAGUACGAUAGAGGGAGGUAGAAUUCAUAGUGUAGCGGUGGAAUGCGUAGAUAUUAUGAAGAAUACCAGUGGCGAAGGCGGCCUCCUGGAUCUGUACUGACACUGAGGUGCGAAAGCGUGGGUAGCGAACAGG
rnacentral:rRNA from 1 species